rnacentral:rRNA from 1 species
ACCAGCAGCGAUAGCUCCUUAAAAGCAUCAGUUCCGCAUGGAUCACUGAAGUUGAGCACGGUUGCGCGUGGUUAGUACCCGGAUGGGUGACCAUCUGGCCAAUAGC